rnacentral:rRNA from 1 species
UGCGUAGGCGGGUCUUUAAGUCAGGGGUGAAAUCCUGGAGCUCAACUCCAGAACUACCUUUGAUACUGAGGAUCUUGAGUUCGGGAGAGGUGAGUGGAACUGCGAGUGUAGAGGUGAAAUUCGUAGAUAUUCGCAAGAACACCAGUGGCGAAGGCGGCUCACUGGCCCGAUACUGACGCUGAGGCACGAAAGCGUGGGGAGCAAACA